rnacentral:rRNA from 1 species
UACGUAGGGUGCGAGCGUUGUCCGGAAUUAUUGGGCGUAAAGAGCGUGUAGGCGGCCCGGUAAGUCCGCUGUAAAAGUCAAAGGCUCAACCUUUGAAUGUCAGUGGAUACUGCCGGGCUAGAGUCCGGAAGAGGCGAGUGGAACUCCUGGUGUAGCGGUGGAAUGCGCAGAUAUCAGGAAGAACACCAACGGCGAAGGCAGCU